GUGCCAGCCGCCGCGGUAAUACGUAGGCAGCAAGCGUUGUUCGGAGUUACUGGGCGUAAAGGGUGUGUAGGCGGUUUUUUAAGUUUGUCGUGAAAUCUCCCGGCUCAACCGGGAGGGUGCGGCGAAUACUGAGAAGCUAGAGUGCGGGAGAGGAAAGUGGAAUUCCUGGUGUAGCGGUGAAAUGCGUAGAUAUCAGGAGGAACACCGGUGGUGUAAACGGCUUUCUGGACCGUAACUGACGCUGAGACACGAAAGCGUGGGUAGCAAACAGGAUUAGAAACCCUCGUAGUCC
rnacentral:rRNA from 1 species